rnacentral:rRNA from 1 species
UACGGAGGGUGCAAGCGUUGCUCGGAAUUACUGGGCGUAAAGCGUGCGCAGGCGGUUUUGUAAGACAGGCGUGAAAUCCCCGGGCUUAACCUGGGAACUGCGUUUGUGACUGCAAGGCUAGGGUACGGCAGAGGGGGGUGGAAUUCCACGUGUAGCAGUGAAAUGCGUAGAGAUGUGGAGGAACACCAAUGGCGAAGGCAGCCCCCUGGGUCGAUACUGACGCUCAUGCACGAAAGCGUGGGUAGCAAACAGG